rnacentral:tRNA from 1 species
UAGCUCAGAGGAUUAGAGCACGUGGCUACAAACCACGAUGUCGGGGGUUUGAAUCCCUC